rnacentral:rRNA from 1 species
UACGAAGGGGGCUAGCGUUGCUCGGAAUGACUGGGCGUAAAGGGCGCGUAGGCGGUUUGUACAGUCGGGCGUGAAAUUCCUGGGCUCAACCUGGGGGCUGCGUGCGAUACGUGCAGACUAGAGUGGGGAAGAGGGUCGUGGAAUUCCCAGUGUAGAGGUGAAAUUCGUAGAUAUUGGGAAGAACACCGGUGGCGAAGGCGGCGACCUGGUCCUUUACUGACGCUGAGGCGCGAAAGCGUGGGGAGCAAACAGG